CGGAAGUGCCUUUCUUGUGCUGAAACGAUUUUAGUGUGAGAACUCAAAUCAUCCCAGCUCAGAGGGCACUUUCUUUACUCCGACACCCGCCCGGAACCUAUCUCAUCGGUGGAUCGAG
rnacentral:sRNA from 1 species